UCAUAAACCCUCACAUCAUACAACCAAAAAAGACACUGCCGUUGGAAAGAGUUAAGAGGAAGAUUUCGUUGAACAGCGACACAUAAGAUACCAUUUACCUAAUUCAAAACUACAAGCUUUCAUUUUGGAAUCAAUAGCAACGGUUAACAAUGAUGAUGAGUUUACCACGCGUGGCUAUUAUUGCUUUAAUUUGUACCUUGAUGUGCAGUUACGGAAGCAGCAUGACUCUGGAGGAGAUCAGAAGAUCAAUUCCGAAAGGGGCGACUCUUUAUUCAUAUGCUGGAACCUGUGAAGCCUGUGGUGAAUUCUAUGGUAGUAGCUAUACUUAUCGUUGUCUCACAGACAAAACCUUCGAAACUUACCAUAAAUGUAACAUUGCUGUCAAUGAGAAACGCAAAUAAAAUAUUUGAAAGAAAGCAGAGAUUGGAAAAAGGAAGAGAGUUCGUACAAGAUGUAGAAAAGAAAGGGAUGAUAACUGAAAUAGGAGACAGUGAUGCUCUUUUUUGUGUGAUGGGAUGAUGAACACCAGCGUUGAAAGUGUUUUGAAAAGUGAUGCUGAAAGUUAUGCUUUGACAUAUUAAGAAAAGGACGUUUAUAAACAAUUAGAAAAUUAAGAUAUUAACAAUAAAAGUUUUGAAAAAAUAUCUAAAAAAAACAUGUGCAUACAUACAAAAACACACAGUACAACGUCCAUACAACAUGCAUACAUCUGUUUGCUACUUAUGUUGAUAGUUUAUUAGGUGGAUUAAUGACUUGUGUACAUUAAAAUCCCACAGCCUAACACAUUUCAGCAUCACCUAUCACUAAAGGCUUCUGUAUCCACAUUAUUA
rnacentral:lncRNA from 1 species